AUUGAACGCUGGCGGAAUGCUUUACACAUGCAAGUCGAACGGUAGAGGGGGCAACCCCUUGAGAGUGGCGAACGGGUGAGUAAUAUAUCGGAACGUGCCCAGUCGUGGGGGAUAACGUAGUGAAAAUUACGCUAAUACCGCAUACGAUCUAAGGAUGAAAGCGGGGGAUCGCAAGACCUCGCGCGAUUGGAGCGGCCGAUAUCCGAUUAGCUAGUUGGUGAGGUAAUGGCCCACCAAGGCAACGAUCGGUAGCUGGUCUGAGAGGAUGAUCAGCCACACUGGAACUGAGACACGGUCCAGACUCCUACGGGAGGCAGCAGUGGGGAAUAUUGGACAAUGGGCGCAAGCCUGAUCCAGCCAUGCCGCGUGUGUGAAGAAGGCC
rnacentral:rRNA from 1 species